rnacentral:rRNA from 1 species
AUCCUGGCUCAGAUUGAACGCUGGCGGAAUGCUUUACACAUGCAAGUCGAACGGCAGCACGGACUUCGGUCUGGUGGCGAGUGGCGAACGGGUGAGUAAUAUAUCGGAACGUGCCCAGUCGUGGGGGAUAACGUAGUGAAAAUUACGCUAAUACCGCAUACGAUCUAAGGAUGAAAGCGGGGGAUCGCAAGACCUCGCGCGAUUGGAGCGGCCGAUAUCAGAUUAGGUAGUUGGUGAGGUAAAGGCUCACCAAGCCGACGAUCUGUAGCUGGUCUGAGAGGACGACUAGCCACACUGGAACUGAGACACGGUCCAGACUCCUACGGGAGGCAGCAGUGGGGAAUUUUGGACAAUGGACGCAAGUCUGAUCCAGCCAUUCCGCGUGCAGGACGAAGGCCUUCGGGUUGUAAACUGCUUUUGUACAGAACGAAAAGGUCUCUAUUAAUACCUGGGGCUCAUGACGGUACCGUAAGAAUAAGCACCGGCUAACUACGUG